AACGUAGGACGCAAGCGUUAUCCGGAGUUACUGGGCGUAAAGCGCGAGCAGGCGGCUCGACAAGUUCGCUGUGAAAGCUCCCGGCUCAACCGGGCGAGGCCAGUGGAAACUAUCGAGCUGGAGGGCAGUAGAGGCAGGCGGAAUUCCGGGUGGAGUGGUGAAAUGCGUAGAGAUCCGGAGGAACACCAGAGGCGAAGGCGGCCUGCUGGGCUGCACCUGACGCUGAGCCGCGAAAGCCAGGGGGAGCGAACGGG
rnacentral:rRNA from 1 species